CACUCACUAGCUGCAGCUGACAGGGAGAUCAAGGAAUGACUGCAGAUUCAACUACAGUACAAAACCCUCUGUUAUUGGUGUGGUGCAGUAUGUGGUCAGUGUGGUGCAGUACGAGGACACAAGUGAAGUGUGGUGCAGUAUGUGGGGACAACAGACCACGAGUGAAACUUCUCACAAUACACAACGGUGUUCCUUCAGGUAACAGGUGAUGUACGUGAAGGCCAAUGGAGAAGUGACAGAACCUCGAGCAAGAUUUAACUACCAGCAUGUUACUUCAGCCUCAUCAGUUAAGUUACUUGUACAGUAUAUCUUAGCUAGUAUCUUUAUCCAAUAAACCACUCGACACUGCUCCUACACUGGGCAGUGGAGGGUGUGUGGGGGGUGGGGGUGCCUUGCUGACUGUUUGAGGCCUAAUAGGUCUGUGUGUAGACCUAGUGAUCAGUGUGUGGGGCCUGGCGGACACUCUUGGAGGACUGUGUUGGAGGGCUAUGGAGGACGAUCUGUAGACAGACUGAUAUUAGAGCA